AGUGAACGCUGGCGGUAGGCCUAACACAUGCAAGUCGAACGGCAGCACAGUAAGAGCUUGCUCUUACGGGUGGCGAGUGGCGGACGGGUGAGGAAUACAUCGGAAUCUACUUUUUCGUGGGGGAUAACGUAGGGAAACUUACGCUACCACCGCAUACGACCUACGGGUGAAAGCAGGGGAUCUUCGGACCUUGCGCGUUUGAAUGAGCCGAUGUCGGAUUAGCUAGUUGGCGGGGUAAAGGCCCACCAAGGCGACGAUCCGUAGCUGGUCUGAGAGGAUGAUCAGCCACACUGGAACUGAGACACGGUCCAGACUCCUACGGGAGGCAGCAGUGGGGAAUAUUGGAUAAUGGGCGCAAGCCUGAUCCAGCCAUACCGCGUGAGUGAAGAAGGCCUUCGGGUUGUAAAGCCCUUUUGUUGGGAAAGAAAAGCAGCAGGUUAAUACCCCGCUGUUCUGACGGUACCCAAAGAAUAAGCACCGGCUAACUUCGUG
rnacentral:rRNA from 1 species